rnacentral:rRNA from 1 species
CCGCCGCGGGGGGAGGGGUGACCUAGACGUGACGGCCGCAUCGUCGUCCUUCCGGCCGGUUGGGGGCCUCUAAGGAGCGCUUUUAGAGCGCGGCGAAGGUACUCUCCAACUCUCGAGCCUCCGUCACUCCUUCUUCGCCCAUCGGACUAGACGAGCCGAGCUCCUCCGGUGCCUUCUGUGGAUUGUACCGCCGCCGUAAUCGCACCUCCAAGUUACCUUGGUUGCCGCCGCGUCUAGACCUAUUCCAAGUUCUAAGUCUCGGUGGUUGAGGACAGAGCCAGUACUCUUACCCGUUCUUGGCUCAGUUAUACCUCCUACUCCUCUGUGAAAGUUCACAACGAGUAACAUAACUCGUCAACGCCGUCUCAAGAAGCAGGUGAGUUCUUUUUCUUUCGAGUAACUUCGUCAAUAACCUAGAACAAGUUUGUGCACUAUGACGUAAACCUCGACAACGUAGUGUAAGUGUUCGACAAGGUUAUGAACAAAGAGAGGAGUCUAGACCGAGUAGACCUUAAUUCUACGACAGACGAUGACAAGAACCAAGAGAAACGUUCCUUCUCCUCGAUUCCCACUUCCAAGACGAACCACCAACGUAGGGAGGUAACGAACGAGAAGAGUCCAGGUUCAGUCAACUUUCAGUCUGACGUCGACGGUUUUGUUAAAUACGACAAAGAGUUCCACCCUAUUCCCUAGUACAACCAAGUUUCUAUAAGAGUUGUCUUUUACAACAGGGUCAUGACACCCUCGUUGAGUUUCAAUCGGAGUUCUUACUCUCAAACCACCUACCGGACGAUUGGCCUCGUGACUUCUUGAACAGUUUUUCGUGUCUCCCCAAAACCAGCAGUUGACACGCUACACCACCUCAACUAUAUGAAUAUUUCGACUAACCAAGACCUGUCUGUUUAUGGGAUCGUUUACACACGUUAGAAGAACCCCGGAAUUACUACCUUCUGAGUAGUCAAACAAGUUUUCAAAAUAGUCCUCUUUGUUGUUUUGUCGAGGAUUUCAACGAACCAGGACCAUUACUUUGUAGAUAAUCUCCUCUUCGACGACCACGAGACUUUAGGGAAAGACGCGUCUCAUUUCUUCGAGCCGCACUCCAUCGAUCAAGAUUACCCUAAGGACGAGAAUAUUUACGAUGAUAACGAGGUAGUUUUCUCAAGUACGUGCCUCUUAGACGGGUUCGUGACGUUCUUUUACGCUACACACGUAAUCGUUUAUAAAGACCACCAAAUAGAAUACAUUAGAGUUCGGAGCCACUUUCAGAACUUAGUACGAGAAGGAGACGUGUCUAACGACUGUGAGAACCACGUAAUCGGAGUCGCAACUACUAUAUACUGUAUUUACGUCUUAGUUAGUCACGUAGUCUGGGAGACCAGUAACUCUUCUGUAAUUACUUUGUCAAGUUCGGAUUCCGCGGGAAGGAACAUGUCCUCGCACAUUAACUUCGAAACCGGUCGAACAUAUCAUUGGGUCAAGAGACGUUCUGCGAACGUCUAAGACUACGUUUUGCAAACGAACAACCAAACUAUUGGUACCGUCCGUGACUCCACGUUCUACUGGACUACUGUAGUGAGAAACGAGAGACGUUCUUUCUAACACUAAAUACCGUUCGAGACGUUCCGGCACUCCCACAAGUCGAUAACUAAAGGAAUGAACCAGAUAGGAGUCUUGUCGUCGUCCUUACACGACAACGAGACGAGCGAGAAGACAGUUUCCUCUUACUACUCACGUUUACCCGAUAGUGACGACGACCACCAUAUGGAGGAGAACAAGUUUAUAAUCUUUGACCAAGAGGCUUUCGAUUUCUUCUAAGUCGUUGGUAGUAACCGUUAAAUACGUUAGUGUCACUUCUGUAUGCUCGUACACAACUUUCACGACUACGUCAAGGACGAAACGAUACCGAAGAGUUUUUGCCUUCACUGUUGCCGUUUCUCUAUCGUAGGUUUUGUGACUUAGUAGAGUAAGUGUUCAGUCUAUGACCUUGAUAAUCAGUCAAUAGACGAGACAACUGUUCACUUGUCGGACUUAGUUUUUAAAUACAAGAACUACGAAACUUUUCGAACGAAAGACAACGUGGUGAAUUACUAUAAGACGUACUUCCUUCACGACGUUUACUACGUCAACUCUGUUACUAGUUUUAAGAUUCGAGGGGUUUUCUUCUUUGAGUCCGAUGUAGUCGUAGACGAGAACGACCAGAUAAGGUAACGGCGUUUCUGAACGCUCUUUGUGUAUAACGUCACUUCUGUGAAACCAGUCAGUACUUUGACUAACUGCACGUCAGGCUGUCUUAUGAUUACCUCCGGAGUACAACGGAACGACGGUAAAAAGAAAGCCAGUUCGUUUUAUUCCUCCAACGACGUCAACCUGCACUACGUGAACGAGGUGAUCAGAGUGAACGUUCAAGUUGUCAAGAACUUCAUCGUCUCGUUCGUUGGGCUCGAAACCGUUUGGAAAAAGAACUAGUACUUAACAGACGCGACCAUAGAAAACUUCUUUAAUACAAGGGAUAUUGAGCACAAGAAUUCCUCCCAUGAGAACUACCUUCUUAAGUACCUCGUCGUCGUUAUCGAGCGGACAACGUCACGGCUGGGUAAUUGGUUCGAUAGAGUCUAUGAUAAUUAGCGAGACCACGACAGGAACGAGAUCGACCAGAGAACCUUCGACGACUACCACUACGAAGCCGUUGUAGUCUUCAAGAACUACGUGACCACGAUAAUAGUUCUAGCUUCCACAGUUCACCCGUAUGGUUCCGAGGGACCUGUCGAGAACGUCUUUUAGGGGUGUGGUAUGAAGGGGAACAAAGAACACAUCGACUACGUCAUGGGCGGAACGUUCUAUUUCGGUAUCUUCAAAACAGUUCCGAGACAAACCUGGUUGUACUACAACACCCACCAAACCAAAGACUUUAGGGUCCAACGUAUAGUAGUCGUCGUGCCGCCCAGUAACCAAGAUUGGAAGACUUUCAAUUUCAACCACCUACACGAGAAGAACAAACACGUCGUUUUCUCGUAACAGUUUUCGUCUAACUCUAUGACUCACUAAGUUCGAACAUGUAAGUCGAUUAAGUAAGAGAUCAACCAUACUAGUUAUGUCGUUUGAAUGGAAGACUUUUACCUCUACCACUUUCAUAUCGUCUGUAAUUUUAAAGGUCCGUGAGUUUUCUUUUAUCGUCACUACGACUUUACCACGGGGUGUGACGACAAUAGAGCCCAUUGUACUAAGGUGAGACCGAUGAACGACAGAAACGAGCGGUACUGCUGUUUUGUUCUCGUCUUUAAGAUCUUCGACCUCGUCAAGUUUACGAGUGACUCUUCUAAAGAGUUUUACGUAAAGAUAUACACCCACUUCUUCUAUUAUGGCGUACCCAGACACGGAAUGAAGAACGUAACGAUAAAGUUCUUUCUCUCCAGUUAGCUAGAUUAAGUCGUAGGGUAAGUUAAGGACACGAGAGUUUGAACAAUUCCAGUCUGCUCGGUCGUAUGUCCAUGAAACGACGUGUUCGAAACCGUUCAGACCAAUCAUUGCCAUCGUCUCCUUGAGAAGACCGGCAACGAUUAAGACCUCGUCGGUGGCCUGAAUAUAGAAACGAACCUACACGAUUACAACUAUAUCGACUAGAGAAUCUCAAUAGUCUCCUUAAGUACAACCACGGAUUAGGACUACUUUGAUGCGACCUUUCCGAUAAGUCUCAACUACUAUAGUCCCAACCAAGUUGAAGGUCUUUUAGGUAAGGAGAAGAACAACUAGAUGAAUUUGGGUAAGGUCUUUCUGGACCACGAGGAAAGAACCGUAACCCAGAAAACUGUGUUAACCGACAACUAACACAAGGUUUGUACGACGACUACCGACUUCAACCUUAGGAUCUUCGUGAAUGGUUUAUGGAUAGUGAAUCGGGUGUUCUGCGUUGUCUUCUUCGAUGUUGACUCAACAACCCGUAAGAAAAAUCAACACGCCUUUAUUCCGUUGUACUUAGUCGUGAACCAUGACAUUUGGUUGAACACCGUCAGGAAGCAGAUCCUCCUUCUUUAAGUGCGAUAUCGCGCCGUUUCCGUAAUCUUUCAAACAAAACACGUCUGGUACAGUCCUUGUCACUCAGUCGAGCUGUCCGAUAAGUCGGCGAACAUCUUCAAGACUCAUGACCGUACCUCUCCCUCGUCGUACGUCGGUAUAGUCGUGAACAAUCUGACGAAACACUGUUAGGCAGUUCUCGUGAACGUCAACGGCUACAACUCUACUUGCGUCACCUACAAGACACGGCCUAAGACAGGAGUCUAACAAGUCGACUCAACUUUCCACUAAGGCGACUUGACACGCCACAAGACAAACGUUUAUGUUCCUAGGCGAGAUGUUACCGACGUCGGGCAACACACCUUGGAAACCAGCCAAAUGACCAAUCACUUCGAUUGGGCCGGGUCGAAAGACAUCAGGCACGUGACCUAUUCGAGGAUCUACUACUUGUUGAGCGACUUAAUCACCGUCGCGUACCCCGUCAGCAAGGAGAACAACCCGAAAACAAACCGUUUUUAAAGUACGAAGUACUCCGUCAACGGUCUCGAAACCACUUCUAACCUUUUCUAUCCGGCCGAACGUUUAACCUUUACCAAUUUCGACCACAUUAACUCUCGUAAGAACUAUAAGAAGUACUACGAGGUCUAAAAGAAACGUGACGUAACCGCCUUUACGAAGCCUAAAACUGUUUAUUACGAUCGUAUCGUUUUCCGGGUAGACGUCGGUUUCAUCAUGUCGGAGAAAAGAGAGACGAUAGUUUCCGUCUAUGACCAGGACUCCCCGUCAUAUCGUGAAACGUCCAAGAACAGUUAUAAAACCUCGUAGGACUUACGGCUCGACUAAUGUUGAACUGUGGGGCGGUUUGUUAACUCGGUCAGUAAUGAAAUGACUUAAGUAGAGGUGGUCGACACGUUGUUAACCGACGCCUCGAGGAUAGAGUAGAAGAGGACCUUCUUGUGGAGGUCUUCCUAUGUCAUCGUCUCGUUAGGUAGGGACGGGAGUAAGUUUAAGAGAGUAGUCCAAACGGUUUAAAUGUCGUCUCUCGAUAUUUUCGAGAACGAUUAGAACGUAAUCGGACCGGUUUAUGUUAACGUUUCCUCCCACCACACAAACUCAACAGGUUCCACGACGACGUUAGACUAGGAGGAAACGGAGUACAACAUACCCUUAGACGUCGUCGACAGGACAGAUCGUAAAACGUCAUGUCAUGGCUCAAAAAGGAACUCCAAGGACAACGCCAUGAUCACGUCAACGAGUCUAGUCCCUGACUUUCAUGGCAACACCCACGUGACUUACGGGACGAACAUAACCUCUCACUACUAAGUUGUUCACGUCUUCGUUACCGACUCUCACCACGACAUCUUCGAGAAGACCUAGAGAACUCCUCAGUAGUCACACUCCUUCGACGACGUUCUGAGUAACUCCGUAACGACUUGUUGUAUUCUUAUUCCCUCCGCUUCCGACGAUUUUUACGAUAACGUGGAAAUAGGUACAUGGAAGACCUAGGUGUCUGCGUCAGAGUUGUCCCUUCUAACGAACGACGAGAACGAGAACCUCUAGAAAAGGUUUUACUUCCAGAACGAGCAAGAUGACUACGGCAGCGUCGUACGGCACGAGACCAGUUAGAAGAACUUCUGGUCGGUUGGCUUCUCUACUUUCACCAUCGGUAAACACGGAACGUCUUAGAUCAGUACAUGUCGGCUCGUUUAUUUUCUCGUCAACGUCUUAGACCACCGCAGGUCCAGAACGACCUGGAAUAGUCAAGUUCGUUAGGACUAUGAAGACAAGUCCGUCGUUACAAACAGUUUGAAGACAAGUUGUUGGUGUGGUAGGUUCUCAUACGGUGCUCACUUUGUCAGUCUCAAUAUUGUCGAAGUUAACUCUUCCUAUAUACCCGUAGACCCUCACGAUUACUCCUCAUAGAAUUUCGUGAAUUACGAAAUGAAUCGUUAAAGGGAGCAGACUCUCAGUGACUUGGACGAUGCUAUACAUAAGGCGUAGAACAUUGUAGGGAAUUUUGACCAAGACUUCGUUGAGUUCUUCGUCGUGACCUAAGUGAUAUAGACGAUUCUGUUCGUACCUGCCGAACGGGUCGUCUUCAUAAAUUUCGAGUUAGUCAACGACGCAGUCUCCGAUAAGGAGAUGAAGUCAUGAACUAUGUCAGACCGGGUGGUGCCAAAGUUCUCUUCCGUCUCAACGAUGAAGUCACGAACGGACCCUGUGAAUGUCAAUGAUAUUUCGCACCGUUGUUAGACUCCGUUAGUCACCCUUUACGAUCACGUAAGACGUUCGAAUGAGAACCUUUAUUAGGUCGUUCCGACUGUUUCUAACAGAGCUGACCACUCAGUGGACUUACCCUGCUCCGGAAACGUACCCGAAAACUGUCGGGAGGGUUCCCAGUCUUCGAAGUAUAGAGAACGUUUUUGUUGUCGUUUAAGCCUUUCUUUAGCAAACCAUUCCACUGCUAGGUCUAGCUGGCCCAGCAGUACGACCCUAGUCAGCGGCCUCUCAUGUGGGACGACGGCCUCUCGUUUUCGCCAGGCUUAUCCUUGGACCUUUAGCUUAAGGUUACCAGCUUGUUUACUGUCGUAGAUGUCUUAAUCCGCGGGCAACAUUUAUCGGCCGUCUCUUUCAACAAAAAACAACAACAUGGAAAAACACUCUAUUUUUGUCUACUCUAGUCAACAAAAAACAUGACUAACAUUGCCUGGCU